GUGUCAGCAGCCGCGGUAAAACGUAGGAGGCUAGCGUUAUCCGGAUUUACUGGGCGUAAAGCGCGUGCAGGCGGUGUUCUAAGUUGGGCAUAAAAUCUCCCGGCUCAACUGGGAGGGGCUGUCCAAUACUGGGGCACUUGAGGGUAGGAGAGGGAAGUGGAAUUCCCGGUGUAGCGGUAAUAUGCGCAGAUAUCGGGAGGAACACCAGUGGCGAAGGCGGCUUCCUGGUCUACACCUGACGCUAAGACGCGAAAGCGAGGGGAGCGAACGGGAUUAGAUACCCCGGUAGUCCUAGCUGUAAACGAUGGAUACUAGGUGUUGGUGGUAUUGACCCCAUCAGCGCCGAAGCUAACGCGUUAAGUAUCCCGCCUGGGGACUACGACCGCAAGGUUAAAACUUAAAUGAAUUGACGGGG
rnacentral:rRNA from 1 species